rnacentral:rRNA from 1 species
AAUGAACGUUGGCGGCGCGGAUUAGGCAUGCAAGUCGAGCGAGAAGUCACAGAUUGAAGCUUCGGCCGAUUUCUGUGAUGGACAGCGGCGAAAGGGAGAGUAACGCGUGGAUUAUUUACCCCCGAGACCGGGAUAGCCGCGGGAAACUGCGGGUAAUACCGGAUAACGUCUCCGGACCAAAUGGUGUGAUUCCGCUUGGGGAUGAGUCCGCGUCCUAUUAGCUUGUUGGUGGGGUAACGGCCUACCAAGGCUCCGAUGGGUACCGGGUGUGAGAGCAUGGCCCGGCUCACUGGGACUGAGACACUGCCCAGACACCUACGGGUGGCUGCAGUCGAGAAUCUUCGGCAAUGCGCGCAAGCGUGACCGAGCGACGCCGCGUGCGGGAUGAAGGCCUUCGGGUUGUAAACCGCUGUCAGUUGGGAGGAAAUCCAUAGGGGUUAUCCCCUAUGGUUGACCUAUCAUCAGAGGAAGGACGGGCUAAGUUCGUG